CAUCGUCGGCAACAUGGAGGCGAGUCACCGACGAGUUGCGGCACCGGUGGCGAACUUGAAGGUGAGUCGCCGGUGAGUUGUGUCACCGGUGACGAACAUGGAGGCGAGUCAUCGGCGAGUUGCGGCACCGGUGGCAAACAUGCGGCAGCGAGCGUGCCAUGGCAGUGCGCUCAUGGUGAAGGAGUACCAGGUGCGGCUCUCGCCGAAGCUAGCGCGACGGCGGCAAUCGGCGUGACAAGAUGGUAUUGGCGGCCGUCUCCGCGGUGCACCGACGACAUCGACGACCAUGAGCUUCAAGAGAGAAAUAAGUUAACAAGAUUAGGGAGGUGA
rnacentral:rRNA from 1 species